rnacentral:rRNA from 1 species
GAAACGGAUUAAUAUUUCCGUACCUUGGAUAGCUGCGAUGGAGAGACGGAGAAGGCUAGGUGAGCCGGGCGACGGUUGUCCCGGUUUAAGCAUGUAGGCAGUGGGAUUAGGCAAAUCCGGUCCCACAAUGCCGAGACGCGACGACGACUGCCCUUUUAGGGCGGGAAGUCAUUGAUGCCCUGCUUCCAGGAAAAUCUUCUAAGCUUCAGGCUAUUCGAGACCGUACCCCAAACCGACACAGGUGGUCAGGUAGAGAAUACCAAGGCGCUUGAGAGAACUCGGGUAAAGG